GUUAAACUACCGGUUCUCGUACGAUCACCGAAGUUAAGCAACGUCGAGUCUGGCCAGUACCUAGAUGGGUGACCGCUUGUGAAUACCGGGUGAU